rnacentral:rRNA from 1 species
UACGGGGGGGGCAAGCGUUAUCCGGAAUUAUUGGGCGUAAAGAGCUCGUAGGCGGUUUGUCGCGUCUGCCGUGAAAGUCCGGGGCUCAACUCCGGAUCUGCGGUGGGUACGGGCAGACUAGAGUGAUGUAGGGGAGACUGGAAUUCCUGGUGUAGCGGUGAAAUGCGCAGAUAUCAGGAGGAACACCGGUGGCGAAGGCGGGUCUCUGGGCCGUAACUGACGCUGAGGAGCGAAAGCGUGGGGAGCGAACAGG